UGGGGAAUAUUGGGCAAUGGGCGCAAGCCUGACCCAGCAACGCCGCGUGAAGGAAGAAGGCUUUCGGGUUGUAAACUUCUUUUGUCGGGGACGAAACAAAUGACGGUACCCGACGAAUAAGCCACGGCUAACUACGUGCCAGCAGCCGCGGUAAUACGUAGGUGGCAAGCGUUAUCCGGAUUUACUGGGUGUAAAGGGAGCGUAGACGGUUGAUCAAGUCUGAUGUGAAAGCCCGGGGCUCAACCCCGGGACUGCAUUGGAAACUGAACAGCUGGAGUGCAGGAGAGGUAAGUGGAAUUCCUAGUGUAGCGGUGAAAUGCGUAGAUAUUAGGAGG
rnacentral:rRNA from 1 species